UCCACGCCGUAAACGAUGAGUGCUAGGUGGUCGGGGGGGCUUGCCCUUCGGUGCCACAGCUAACGCGUUAAGCACUCCGGCCUGGGGAGUACGACCGCAAGGUUAAAACUCAAAGGAAUUGACGGGGGCCCGCACAAGCGGGUGGAGCAUGUGGUUCAAUUCGAAGCAACGCGCAGAACCUUACCAGCCCUUGACAUGGGCGUCGCGGAUCCCGGAGACGGGGGUUCUUCAGU
rnacentral:rRNA from 1 species